GAUGCUGUCACUUGGAUUUCAUGGCAGCAGCCCCGAUGGCACUGAAUCACCAUCUGAGUCUCUCACCGCCCCACGUUCCAUCAAACGCAGCUGGGAGCAGAGUGCCCUGCUCAAAGGCACAUAAAUCAGUUUUUGGGCCAGAGUGACUGGAGCUGUACAAUGAUCUGAAAGACUGGUUUAUGACAGCAUGAUAUUUGG